rnacentral:rRNA from 1 species
ACGCUCGACACCUACGGGAGGCNGCAGUGGGGAAUAUUGCACAAUGGAGGAAACUCUGAUGCAGCGAUGCCGCGUGAGGGAAGAAGGUUUUCGGAUUGUAAACCUCUGUCUUUGGGGACGAUAAUGACGGUACCCAAGGAGGAAGCUCCGGCUAACUACGUGCCGGCAGCCGCGGUAAUCUGAGCGGGCUGGCAAGGC